GCCAGGUGUGGUGGCUCACACCUGUAAUCCCAUCACUUUGGGAGGCCGAGGUGGGUGGAUCACCUGAGGUCAGGAGUUCGAGACCAGCCUGGCCAACAUGGUGAAACCCCAUCUCUA
rnacentral:SRP_RNA from 1 species